UCCCUGGUGGUCCAGAGGCUAAGACUCUGUGCUCCCAAAGCAGAGGACCCAGGUUGGAUCCCUGCUCAGGGAA
rnacentral:tRNA from 1 species